CAGACAGAGACAGACAGAGAUUCCUUGCUUUAAAGUUAAAUGACAAUCCUGACCUCAAGUGCAGUUUUUAACAAGUUACUGGUGCCAUGGACUGUUAUAUGUACACAAAUGAUUAAGGGAAAACAAAAAUCUUUAUUAUCAAUGUAGGUUUUCUAAGUGUUUUUUAUGUACAGUAUGCUCCUAAAUAGGCAUUUCUAUCCGUGUUGAUUUGUCUUUCAGUCCUAAUCACACAUUCAAUUUCAAUGCAUUGUUUUACCCUCUUUUUUUGGAAAAGCACCUGGACAAACCUUAGAUAAACAUGUAAAAUGUUUGUUUUUUUUCCCAUCUCUCAAUUUUGUGCCUCCUUAACUCUUUGAUCCUUGGUGUUACCCGCAAAUUGAUCUGAGUGCUCCAUCUCAGUCUCAGUCCCAAGUUAAAAAAUGCAUCAAGAGGAGCGAGGAGGCAUCUGGAAGAGAUAUAAGCAACAAUACACCAGAGUACCCUUUUCAGUACCUGACGUAUAUGUGUAUGCGUGCUAAAUAAAAAAAAAAAAAAGUAUAACAUCCAUACAUUGUUGUCACAUUAUGCCAGGUUGUGAAUUGCAUUCAAAGUAAAUCUGCUCAGAUGGAGAUCAUAAUUACAGCGGUAGACUUUAACACCAGAAUUCCACUGGAUGCGUGUCCGUUGCGGAACGACUGCGCUGGUUAUCCGCUGCGUGCUCCGCCGUCCGUCAGCACCCACCGGCUGCGUUGCUGUGCAGAGCGGUGCAGCUCCGCCGGACAGCGGGAGUCAUGAGGACCCACGAGAUCUCGUGAUUUCAUGCAUAAUCGCGCGAUAUAACAAGAUGUAGUUUCUAGAAACAGAACCACAAAACCAGAGGAGUCAUAGGAAGACAUCUCGGUGCACCUCCAUGAUUAACAUCUCCUCGUCCAUGGUGCCAAUGGGGUGAAAUGAUGUCUGGAAACCUCUGACCUGUUGACUUCAGGCCUGCCUCCGCCCAUUAUGACGUUUUCAAAGUGUAGUGCAGGGAAAUAUGAUCCGCCGUGAACACUUUGUAUUUUAUUUUGAAAAUUAACCGGAUGUUUUAUUUUGUUUCUGUGUACGACUUCCUGCCCCGCACGAGCUGCUCCGUGCUGAAUUGCUGCAUUGUGCUCCGGCUUCCGGCAAAAAUAGAAGUCCUGCGUAUCUGUUGCGGAGGGCUCCAGAGCACCGCAGCUGUGACGGAGCUGGAACGCAGCACAGCCGCAGCCGGUGGAAGCACACACAUUGACUAGAAUUGAAACGUAUCGGCUCUGCUGCAGUUCCGGAGCGCAGACGCAACCAACGCACAUCUGGUGGAAUUUGGGGGUAACAAAGCAGUGGACAGCUGACGCAACUGUGUCCCACGGCAUGAAUUGAUAUCACUUUAAAAUAAUGGCUGGAUGGCUAAUAACCAAGGAUGUCUAAUUUUGUAAAUACCUCUUGCCUUGACUCAUCUCUCCUCGCGUCCCUUCCUCAACUCCUCCUCCUCCACAUCUCCCAUGGGCAGAACUAAGACAUGAGGAGGAGAAUGGAGGAGGUACAAAUUGAGAAAUGGGAGAGGCCAAAAGCAUGCAGCAGGUUUUGAUAAAGGUUACUUUAAUGUUUUUCUAGCAUUCACCUUAGUGAUGAGGAGAAUAAAAGAGUUUAUGGAAAAUGCAACAAUCCCAAUGGUCAUGGACACAACUACAAAGUGGAGGUGACAGUGCGCGGAAAGGUCACACAUUGUGGACAGCGCAGUGGGUGGUGUUGGCGCAGCGGGCUCUUCCGUCUCUCCGUCCCUCUCUGGCCCGGCUUGUGCACGAGCCAUCUCCGCCCGAACGGGAUUCGCCGUGAUAUACUGGGCCACAUUACUGUUAUGUGUGUUAUAAAUAAGAGAGAUUUAGCCCAGAUUCUGUACUGUUAAGUUGAAGUACUGAUAUUUCCGAGUGUUAGUGAAAUCGUUAAAGUGCUGGAUUUCCUGAGUGUCUGUGAACGCGUCUCGUGAGUGAGACGCUGCAGCGAGCGGGUAGGUGUGUGUUUCUCUCCUCUGAAGACAAGAUGGCGGCACUCAUGUGGAUAGUGAACUUUUCUGUUAGGCUUUAGUUGUUUUGGCGUGGCUACGGCCCACAGUGGCCUGUGUGACAAUCAGAAAUAAAUCACCCUCUAAACCGG